UCCCGGGUUACCCCACCAGCCCGACCUCAACCCCCUCGCGUCCACAGCACGAGCCCCAGCGGCCUUGCGCGGUGCUUACUCUCUAGUAGCGGCUUACUAGGUCAGGCAGGAUCUUUGAUUUUGGAGCACAAGGCUUCUGCGUGCUACUGACUGGGUCCUGGCCUCCCUCCUUCCAUGGCACCGUCGUGAAUGGGAAUUUCCGCCACUGCCUCCAUUAGUCAGAAGACUGAACAUGUUGUAACUGUAGAAAGUCCAUCAUCCUUGUGUAUGCACUUGAAAGAUCCACUGAAGAGCAACCUUCGUGAACAUUACCAGGGGACUUGUGCUCCUAUAAAACGCAGUUUUCCUCACUGCAAGGUGGGUCUCUCACACCGCAAUGGACUAUCUGUGAUCACAGAGCACUUCUUCCCUGGGCCUUCCCUAUCACACUGAUGGCGUGAGUAUGUAGGGCAGGGGUGGGAGUAAACAUGUUAAUCUC
rnacentral:antisense_RNA from 1 species